GACGAACGCUGGCGGCGUGCUUAACACAUGCAAGUCGAGCGGAAAGGCCCUUCGGGGUACUCGAGCGGCGAACGGGUGAGUAACACGUGGGUAACCUGCCCUUCACUCUGGGACAACUCCGGGAAACCGGGGCUAAUACCGGAUAUGACCCUUUGAGGCAUCUCUCGGGGUGGAAAGUUUUUCGGUGAAGGAUGGACCCGCGGCCUAUCAGCUUGUUGGUGGGGUAAUGGCCUACCAAGGCAGUGACGGGUAGCCGGCCNGAGAGGGCGACCGGCCACACUGGGACUGAGACACGGCCCAGACUCCUACGGGAGGGCAGCAGUGGGGGAACAUUGCGCAAUGGGCGGAAGCCUGACGCAGCGACGCCGCGUGAGGGAUGACGGUCUUCGGAUUGUAAACCUCUUUCAGCAGGGACGAAGCGCAAGUGACGGUACCUGCAGAAGAAGCACCGGCCAACUACGUGCCAGCCGCCGCCGUAAU
rnacentral:rRNA from 1 species